CGGGUGAGUAAUGUAUGGGGAUCUGCCUGAUGGCGGGGGAUAACUACUGGAAACGGUAGCUAAUACCGCAUAACGUCGCAAGACCAAAGAGGGGGACCUUCGGGCCUCUUGCCAUCGGAUGUGCCCAGAUGGGAUUAGCUAGUAGGUGGGUAACGGCUCACCUAGGCGACGAUCCCUAGCUGGUCUGAGAGGAUGACCAGCCACACUGGAACUGAGACACGGUCCAG
rnacentral:rRNA from 1 species